rnacentral:lncRNA from 1 species
GGAGAACCCUGCAAAAUGUAAUCAUGUCAUUUGGAUCAAAUCAUGAAGCUUUCAAAAAUAAAGGAAAAUACAUUGCUCUUUCCCCUUCCCCACCAGCACUACAAUACUGAAUUAACACAUAAAUGAUCUGCUGGCCAGAGCAGAAUAUGGACCACAGAUGUUAACAACCUGGCACCGCUUGUUGUUUCUCAGUGUUGCAGGAGACAGUUUGUCCUGACUGAAUUCCCAAUGACGUGAAAAGACUGACCAAGUCCAGGCAUUUGAACCAAUUAUUAACUUCAAAUGAUGAGUGCUCAGCUACCUGACAGAUUCCAGUUUGGAAAAAUCCAUCUUUCCAGGAGUGAUGGAGCAGAUGUGUCUACUUUAGCAAUGGGCAGCCUAGAAGAUGGACAUUUGACAGGCGACAAUAGACUGCUCCUUUCCCAGCCGUGGCAACUUCUCUUGGUGUCAUCUCAGAGCUGUCUCAGAUUACAUUGUUUGGGAUCUGCACUUUCAACACAGUCUUAAGGCCCUGCACUGCCUUUUGAACCGAGAUGCAGGCAAUGUACUUUUAGCUCAGCUCGUCAUCCCUCGCCUCCCGGUAGGUGCAGUGACACCGCACCGCUCCCGUCCGCUGCUCCCGGGGCCACAGCAGAGCCCGGGGCAAAUCCUGCCGCCCCCGCUCCCCCGAGCCCUUCCUCCCGAGCAUCCCUUUUGCUAACAGGCUGCUGUGAAACUAACAAAAAAGCCAAUAACCCACAGCCCGUUCUGAUGUGAAGAAGACUUUAGCUGUUGUUGCUGUUGUGGCCGCAGUAGUGAUGUGGUUUUGUUAGGGUUUGGGAUUUUUUUUUUGGUUUUGUUUUGGAUUUGUGUUUCGUUUGGGGUUGUUUUGCUGUUGUUGUUGUUGUUUGGUGAGUUUUUUGGUGUGGUUUUUUUUUCUCUUAUUUUUUUUUCCACAGCCCGCUGUGCCACUUCACGCACACUUCAUGGAACUUAAGAAUGAACUCCUAUUUACUGCAGGAAAAAAUGCCCUCCGCGAUUCUCCUACACUUACAAGCAGUGCCAGGCGCAGGGAGUGGGAGGGAAUAACCAUUCUUUACUAGAUCCUUUUAUCUCUCAAAAUACGGGGUGCCCAUGGUCUAGCGUGGAUAAAGCAGUUAUAUUGGGAAACGUGCAUCUCUUCCAUCAUUUCAGAUUUGAAUCAUGCUGCCCCUCCCCUUUGCCAUCCCAUUAUCCAAGUUCUGCAUUGAUUACCGGGAGACUGGAAAUCAGCAUAUUGGAAGAAGCAGGAGUUUAGACGGAGGAACAUAUUUUAAUUUCAGUUUUAAAAAGCUAUACAGUAACUAAGUUCUCGUGAGUGUUCUCAAGGCAGGCAGGAGACUGAACUGUAUUUACACCCCUCCCUCCAAAUAUCUUCAUCCUAACCAAGACAUAACUAGUUUACUAAAAAAAAAAUAAAAUAUUAUAUAAGUCAGUAUCA